UUAUUUGUCUACAAAAUUUUAUUUAUAUUUAAAAGUAGUCAAAAUAUUAUUUUAAAAGUCUAUUUUUCUAACACAAGGAUAUGCUUCAUUGAGAAGAUUAGAAUAUAUGCAUGAACUAUACAAAUCCUGGAAGCUUUUACGAUGGUAAAAAUAUUUUAAGAUCCUUAAAAGACCAAAAUAUGUUAUAGAAUUGUGAAAAAUUCGAAGAUAGUAAAUAUGCCAAUUUAGCAUUAGCCUCCCUUUAUUGUUGACGUGGACCGGAAACUGUAGACUUAACUCCAAUUAACGUUAAUGUGACCAAUAAAUGGAGUUCUUGUCUGGGUUUCAAUUGCAAUGCUCGCGGUUUAGCCACCGCAGAGCUAAGGACCCAGAGUAGUAAACUAGCUUCACCCCCUCCAAUCAACAGUGAAAACGUGGAAGGAUCUCCUCUAUAGACGGAAAACAACCUGAUCCCAUGGCAGCAGUGUUCAACAAUACAUCAACGCUCUCAUUUUCCAUCACCAACAAUAAAUGAGAUUGGUGAAGGUAGCACCUUCUUGGGUGGAAGUGUUCUCCAUUAAUUUCUCUAGGAUAUUAAGAUUGGAAGUUUGAGGCAGCAAGCAAAAGAUGAAAAUAUCGUUGGGAAGGAAAGUGAGACCGAUCAAGUUAAUGGAGUCCCAAAUGGAAAAAACGGCCCAGAAAAAGUUAUCAUCAUACCAGCAGAGGAAGUUUCUCUCAACCAAAAUCCAAAGCCACCUCCUUCCAAGGUCAUCAACAAAAGAAGACGGAAGGAAGAUGCAUUUGAAUAUUUUUCCCCCUUCUGU